CCUACGGGAGGCAGCAGUGGGGAAUAUUGCACAAUGGGGGAAACCCUGAUGCAGCGACGCCGCGUGAGUGAAGAAGUAAUUCGUUAUGUAAAGCUCUAUCAGCAGGGAAGAAAAUGACGGUACCUGAGUACGAAGCCCCGGCUAACUACGUGCCAGCAGCCGCGGUAAUACGUAGGCGGCAAGCGUUAUCCGGAUUUACUGGGCGUAAAGGGAGCGUAGACGGCAGUGCAAGUCUGGCGUGAAAGGCGGGGGCUCAACCCGCGGACUGCUCUGGAAACUGUACGGCUUGAGUGCAGGAGAGGUGAGUGGAAUUCCUAGGGUAGCGGUGAAAUGCGUAGAUAUUAGGAGGAACACCGGUGGCGAAGGCGGCUUACUGGACUGUAACUGACGUGGAGGCUCGAAAGCGUGGGGAGCAAACAGGAUUAGAUACCCCAGUAGUC
rnacentral:rRNA from 1 species